rnacentral:rRNA from 1 species
UACGUAGGUGGCAAGCGUUGUCCGGAUUUAUUGGGUUUAAAGGGUGCGUAGGUGGUCUAUUAAGUCAGUGCUGAAAUAUCCCGGCUUAACCGGGAGGGUGGCAUUGAUACUGAUGGACUUGAGUAAAGUUGAGGUAGGCGGAAUUGACGGUGUAGCGGUGAAAUGCUUAGAUAUCGGAAAGAACACCAGUGGCGAAAGCGGCUUCCUGGACCAAUAUUGACACUUAGGUGCGAAAGCGUGGGGAGCAAACAGG